rnacentral:ncRNA from 1 species
CGUCCCACCUCGGGGAGCCUUGAUUGGCUGAGACGCUGACGCGGACCCGUUGAACCUGACCCGGCUAACACCGGCGUAGGGAAGGUCUGGAUCAGCCUC